CGUAGUUGGAUUUCUGAUUGAUAUUUUUGGUCCGGUACCUUCGGGUACAUGAGUAUCAUUUUAUAUCUGUCAUCCUAUCAGGGUUUCUUGGUUUCGGCCUAGGAGUUCUGGUUCAUUUACUUUGAAAAAAUUAGAGUGUUUAAAGCAAGCUUGCGCGAUGAAUACAUUAGCAUGGAAUAAUAAUAUAGGACUACGGGUUCUAUUUUGUUGGUUUCUAGACCUGAAGUAAUGA
rnacentral:rRNA from 1 species